UACACUAGACUCAGUCGCGGCAGUCCUACAUACACGGACGAUUACAUUCCAUGGUUGGUGAGAUACUCUCACCCUCGUGUAUUACCCCCUGACGUACCUCUGGUCAGCGGUCUCCCCAAGAGGACCAACACUGAUUAUUGGGUUGGUCGCUUCGUUGAGUUCACAUAGCGUGCACUUGCCGAGUCGCAUGGGCCCAUGUCCCGUGAAACUAAGGCCAUGGCUGCACAGGCCCUUCGUGAUUGGGAUGCUAUGCGAGGGUUAUGAUUUGUGUUUAGCUAGACACCUUUAUUCUUAGUUGAACACUUUAAUUAUUGGUCUGACACUUUUAUUAUUUUGUUUUUGUAAUUGUAAUGGGACACUUUUAUUAUUCGUAUGGACAUGAGCACUUUGAUUUAAA